GAAUUAUGAAAAUAUGUAAUUAAGCUGUCCUAGCUGCCCCUCCUUCAUCAGGCUCAGUUAAUGCUAUGAUAGACAAAAGGCGGUGCCACAUACCUGCGCUCCCUGAUGAGUCCAGGGAGGAUGCUGUGGUUGGCAUCCAACAACUUGAUCACAAAGGAUUUCAUUGUUUGGAGCACUUGGUACCUGUGGCUGUGGUAUGACAGGGGAUUC
ensembl:scaRNA